UCGUCUAGUAUUCCUGGAUAAAUUCUAAUUCAUUUGAUAUUCGUGAACAACAGUGCACACAUAGUUCUUGUGAAUCAAACAAAUGGAAAAACAAAACUAAAACGAAUGAGUAUUACAUUAUCUAUUGAUUUUGACUUUUUCACAUCGCCAACCUAAUCAUAAUAAAUUGGUCUCAAAGAUAAUGGUUUAACAUCAACAUCAACAUAUCAGAAAAAACUGCUGGUCUGAUCAAUGUAGAUUCUGAAAUCAUCAUCAUCAUCAUCAUUCACGAUGAAUAGUGAAUUGAAAAAAAACCCACACAAAUGUUAUCCAGAAUCUAUUCGUCGUCUUGAAAUUGAAAAAAUUUCAUUCAAUUCCCGUGAUACGAUCACGAUACUGAUUCUUCCCGAAGACAUUCUCUAUUCCAUUGAACAAAUUCAUUUUCCCAAUUCGAUACAAU